AGCAGCCGCGGUAAUUCCAGCUCCAAUAGCGUAUAUUAAAGUUGUUGCAGUUAAAAAGCUCGUAGUUGAAUUUCGGGAUCAGUACGCUGGUCGUGCCUCCGGUAUGUACUGGUGUCACUGAUUCCUCCCUUCUGAAGAACCAUCAUGCCAUUCACUUGGUGUGGUGGGGAAUCAGGACUGUUACUUUGAAAAAUUAGAGUGUUUAAAGCAGGCUCGCGCUUGAAUACAUUAGCAUGGAAUAAUGAAAUAGGACGUUUAUCCUAUUUUGUUGGUUUCUAGGAUUGACGUAAUGAUUAAUAGGGAUAGUUGGGGGCAUUAGUAUUCAAUUGUCAGAGGUGAAAUUCUUGGAUUUAUUGAAGACUAACUACUGCGAAAGCAUUUGCCAAGGAUGUUUUCAUUAAUCAAGAACGAAAGUUAGGGGAUCGAAGACGAUCAGAUACCGUCGUAGUCUUAACCAUAAACUAUGCCGACUAGGGAUCGGAUGAUGUUAAUUUUUUAAUAGUACUCAUUC
rnacentral:rRNA from 1 species